CACAGAAAAGCAUCUAGAUAACUCCUAGAACCAAAGAAGCUUUGAAAGUAAUACAGAAAAAAAACCCAGAUCGUUCUUUCCCCACUCUUCCAUCCGACGCUACCCUGCCACCGGCUUCUCUGGAGUUCCCCCUCCACACAGACAUUGUGGACCUCAACAUGCUGCCUUAACCUAGCUAAGCCCCCAGAUGAUUAAAUAAACCACGUAUCUGGAGGAGUGGAGGGGCCAGUUUAGUAGGUGAGAACCCCGGACCAUGUUGAGGUCUGGAGAGCCCCAUUAUAUCUAACAGCACAUAAACCACAGCUUAUAAGGCUAAAAACGUCCCCACAUGGUCUGAUCCUUUUUGGUCAACUCAGACUAGAGGUAGCUGUUAGUACUAAAAUGAAUAAUAAUGCUAUUAUCUUUGAGCGGACCUAUCAUUUGUCAAGCAUGUCCUCAAAUUCUUUUAUUCAAUUAUACAUAACUUUAGUUCUGUCACCCCACCUCACAGCUGGGCACACUGAGGUUCAGGACGAUUAGAGGACUCAUCUAGAUGACACAUGGAACACCAGCCGUGCCACGAUUUGAACCCGGAUCUGUCUCCUUCCCUACGGGGCACUGUGAUAAGCCACAUGAAGAAGAGAGCACGUUCAUGUGCAUUGCCUGUCAACAAAGGGUACCAGAGGAAGAGACAUUUACCUGUAGAACCACAAGAAAGCCCGCAGAGGGUUCCCAGGAAGACCUAACUGUUCCAGCCGCCGUCAACAUUUGUGUACAAAUACCUGUUUGGGUAUCUGUUUUCAGUUCUUUGGGGUAUAGAUCCAGGAGUGGAAAUUGCGGAGUCUUAUGGUUGAUUUCCACGUAUGCGUUAAUGUCCAGAAUAAGGAAAAGCAUAGAGAUAGCAAGCAGAUUGAUGGUUUCCGAGGGCUGGGAGGGACAGGGCAGUAGGGAAUGACUGUUAAUGGCUACGGGGUUCCUUUUGAGGGGACACACAUGUUUGGGAACUUCACAGAGGUGAGAGUGGCACAACACUGUGAAUGUACUAAAUGCCCUUCAACCGUACAUUUUUAAGAUGGCUAUAAAUUUGUUAUGCGAAUUUCACCUCAAGAAUUAUUUAUUUAUUUAUUUUUUAAUGUUUCGUUAUUUUUGAGAGAGAGAGAGAGAGAGACUGCAAGCAGGGGAGGGGCGGAGAGAGAGGGAAGCACAGAAUCUGAAGCGGGCUCCAGGCUCCGAGCUGUCAGCACAGAGCCUGACACUGGUCUCAAACUCAGAGACCAGUUAAGCGUCCGACUUCGGCUCCGGUCAUGAUCUCGCGGUUCAUGAGUUCGAGCCCCAUAUAGGGCUCUGUGCUGACAGCUCGGAGCCUGGAACCCGCUUCAGGUUCUGUGUCUCCCUCUCUCUCUGCUCCUCUCCUGCUCUCACUCUGUGUGUCUGUCUCUCUCUCAAAAAUAAAAAUAAACAUAAAAAAUAAUUAAAAAAAGAA
rnacentral:lncRNA from 1 species